rnacentral:rRNA from 1 species
UGGGGAAUAUUGGACAAUGGGCGCAAGCCUGAUCCAGCAAUGCCGCGUGGGUGAAGAAGGUCUUCGGAUUGUAAAGCCCUUUCGGCGGGGACGAUGAUGACGGUACCCGCAGAAGAAGCCCCGGCUAACUUCGUGCCAGCAGCCGCGGUAAUACGAAGGGGGCUAGCGUUGCUCGGAAUGACUGGGCGUAAAGGGCGCGUAGGCGGCGCAUUUAGUCAGGCGUGAAAUUCCUGGGCUCAACCUGGGGACUGCGCUUGAGACGGGUGUGCUAGAGGGCAGGAGAGGCUCGCGGAAUUCCCAGUGUAGAGGUGAAAUUCGUAGAUAUUGGGAAGAACACCGGUGGCGAAGGCGGCGAGCUGGCCUGUGACUGACGCUGAGGCGCGACAGCGUGGGGAGCAAACAG